GACGUGAGGUGCAAGGCGUUAUCCGGAUUCAUUGGGCGUUAAAGUGGUUGCUGUUGAGGACGGGAUUUGCGCAUUUUGGUUUUAAACCCCCAUGGCUCAACCAUGGUUUUGGGCAAAAGUAUGGCAAAUCUAGUAAGGAUGGAGAGGGUACUGGAACAGAUCAUGUAGCAGUGAAAUGCGUUGAUAUGAUCUGGAACACCAAAGGCGUAGGCAGGUACCUGGCCAUCUCUAGACGCGUGAGGCACGACAGCUUGGGGAGCGAAGAGG
rnacentral:rRNA from 1 species